CAUAUGGGGAAGAUAGAAAAUGCUGAUUAGACUUGGAGGAAACAAUAGUGUGCUGCAGCUUUAAUCAUAUUUCCGAAGAAUAGACUGGUGCUCUAGAUACUUUGAAGAUUCCAGCUUUACCCUGUAGUCAUCAAUGGACUUCCAAUUGACGUUGACUGUGCUUUAGAGGUGGGAAAAACAGGAAGAGAGGGAUGUGAAUAGCAUCGAUAUUGUAGUAGUUGGUUUAGGUUGGUUUUCGUCAGGUCUCAAAGGGGGAAGCAACCUUGGAUUGUGGACACAGGAUGGCACUGAAAUUACUUUUGGAGAACGUUAGUUAUUGGUCGGGCUCCAUUCUGGGUUUUGAUACCGGAGGCAGUUGGCGACCGGAGUAACUUGAAGCUCAAGGAAAAAGCUUCAAAUGGAGAGUGCAGUUUUCCUUUCCGAGGCUACCAUUCGAGGUUUGAGACGAUCUUGGCCACUAUCUGCUUAAAGAAGUUGUCGAAGGCUACAUUGCGGGUCUUCUGUUAGGAGACGAUUUUGUUUAUCGAGAAAGCAGUUGUAGAAUCAUUCGUUUUAUUGUUGAUUCAGGUCAUAACACUUGGUUACGUAUUUUUGUUGUGUAAGGGCAUCUAUGUUUGGCUUUACCGCCUAUUGUGUAAUUGAUAUAUCCACAUGCUUCACAAACAAGAGUAGAUGAACCCGCACACACGGGGGUUAAUAUUAUGGCAUAUUUGUCAUUUUGUC